rnacentral:rRNA from 1 species
UACAGAGGUCCCGAGCGUUGUUCGGAUUCAUUGGGCGUAAAGGGUGCGUAGGCGGGUCUUUAAGUCAGGGGUGAAAUCCUGGAGCUCAACUCCAGAACUGCCUUUGAUACUGAAGAUCUUGAGUUCGGGAGAGGUGAGUGGAACUGCGAGUGUAGAGGUGAAAUUCGUAGAUAUUCGCAAGAACACCAGUGGCGAAGGCGGCUCACUGGCCCGAUACUGACGCUGAGGCACGAAAGCGUGGGGAGCAAACAGG